AACUGAGAAAGGCAAGCUAAAGCCAAAAUUUCUCAAUAAGAGCUCUUGGGACCAACUACAGGGGUUUCUUUCUAACCCAGGAUUGAAUGAGGCCUCAACUCAGUCACAGAGAUGGGGAAGUUUCUGGGGGUGGUUGCCCCUCUCUGUGUACACGAAGAGAUGAAGCCGAUGAUUUCAUCUCCAAAACCUCAAACAAAUCAACAACCCUUUGGGUGUGUGUGUGUGUGUGUGUGUUUCUGAUCUCUGGGAUCAGCAUCUGCUUCUGUUUUCUGUUAACCUUUACAUACUUAUGUAUGUAUGUGUGUAUAUAUAUAUGCAGGCAGACAGAGAGAGAGAGAUAAUUAGAGUUGGGUUUGGAUUGGAUUGGAUUGUUUGGUUUUUGUGCUUCUUGCACAUGCUCUUCUUUCUCUCUCUAAAUCUAUGAUCUAUCAGCAGCAGCAGCAACCAAAACCCUAAACCCAAAAACUUCUUCUUGUUUAAAGAGGCUGUGAUGAGAAACAUUUCUGGGUUCAAAUCAGGAGUUGAGAUCUGACCCGUUUACUGGCGGGGCAACCAGUUGCAGCCAUGGCGGAGUCAAUGUCCUCCUCGGCCUGAUUCAAGUAGAUCUGAGCCUCACCUUCUCUUUCAUAAAACCUCACACACACACACAUGAAUCCCUUUAUGCAUCCAUUGAUUUGCUUUUUUUGCUCCUCAGUUUUCUUUUUCUAUAUACAUUUAGUAUUAUCCGUCUAUAAAUAUUAUUGAUAUUGGCUCUGCUUUUCUA